rnacentral:tRNA from 1 species
GGCCCCUUGGUCAAGUGGUUAAGACAUCGCCCUUUCACGGCGGUAUCACGGGUUCGAAUCCCGUAGGGGUCAC